CGAACCGACCUAGGUUGAAAACUGGGCGGAUGACCUGUGGAUAGGGGUGAAAGGCCAAUCAAACACGGUGAUAUCUGGUUCUCCCCGAAAUGCAUUUUGGUGCAGCGUCGCACGUUCAGCCAUGGAGGUAGAGCACUGAUUGGGCUAGGGGGCCCACAAGCUUACCGACCCCAGUCAAACUCCGAAUGCCAUGGCUCCAGAGUGCGGCAGUGAGUCCACGGGGGAUGAGCUUCGUUGGACGAGAGGGAAACAGCCCAGAGCGCCGGCUAAGGCCCCUAAGUGUGUAUUAAGUGGCAAACGAUGUGGGAUUGCCCAGACAGCCAGGAGGUUGGCUUAGAAGCAGCCACCCUUGAAAGAGUGCGUAACAGCUCACUGGUCGAGUGGUCCUGCGCGGAUAAUGUAACGGGGCUAAAUACACCGCCGAAGCCGCGCCUUUGAGUUCGCUUUCGAGCGAGCUUGAGGGGUAGGGGAGCGUCGUGCCUGCAGCGAAGCCGGAGCGUGAGCGCCGGUGGAGCGGGUCCGAGUGAGAAUGCUGGCAUGAGUAGCGAGAGAGGGGUGCGAAUCCCCUCCGCCGUAAGCCCAAGGGUUCCUGGGGAAGGCUGGUCCUCCCAGGGUUAGUCGGGAGCUAAGGCGAGGCCGAGAGGCGUAGUCGAUGCACAACCGGUUGAUAUUCCGGUACCACCGCGUGCGCGCCCAGUCCAAAAUGCGGUUGCUAAGGGGCUGUCCUCCCUUCGGGGAACGACGAACCGACCCACCGCACCGAGGACAGCAAUGAGGGGACGCAGGAGGAUAGGUGAACCCAGGCGAUGGUAGACCUGGGGUAAGCGAGUAGGACGGGGACUAGGUAAGUCCGGGCCCCAUAAAGUCCGAGACGCGAUGCCGAGCCGCUACAGGCGAAGUCAUUGAUUCCAUGCUGCCUAGAAAAGCCUCUAGCGAGUUCACGUGGUGCCCGUACCUAAACCAACACAGGUAGGCAGGUAGAGCAUACUCAGGCGAACGGGAGAACUGUGGUUAAGGAACUCGGCAAAUUGCAUCCGUAACUUCGGGAGAAGGAUGACCCUGCGAUGGUGACGGCACUAGCUGCCCGAGCCGGAGAGGGUGGCACAAAAUAGGGGAAAGCGACUGUUUACUAAAAACACAGCAGCGUGCGAAGUCGUAAGACCAUGUAUACGCUGUGACGCCUGCCCGGUGCCGGAAGGUUACGGGGAACGGUUAGCUCUUCGGAGCGAAGCUGUGAACCUAAGCCCCGGUAAACGGCGGCCGUAACUAUAACGGUCCUAAGGUAGCGAAAUUCCUUGUCGGGUAAGUUCCGACCUGCACGAAUGGCGUAACGACUUUCCCACUGUCUCAACCACAGACCCGGCGAAAUUGAAGUACGAGUAAAGAUGCUCGUUGGCUACAGAAGGACGGAAAGACCCCGUGGACCUUUACUAUAACUUGGUAUUGGGUUGUGGCACGUGUUGUGUAGGAUAGGUCGGAGACUAGGAAGCGUGUGCGCCAGCAUGCGUGGAGUCACCCUUGAAAUACGACCCUGCUCAUGUCGGAACUCUAACCUAGGACCCUGAUCGGGUUCGGGAACAGUGCCAGGCGGGUAGUUUGACUGGGGCGGUCGCCUCCCAAAUGGUAACGGAGGCGCCCAAAGGUUCCCUCAGACUGGUUGGCAAUCAGUCGUCGAGUGCAAUGGCACAAGGGAGCUUGACUGUGAGACAUACAGGUCGAGCAGGUGCGAAAGCAGGGCAUAGUGAUCCAGCGAUUGCGUGUGGAAGCGUCGUUGCUCAACGGAUAAAAGGUACCCCGGGGAUAACAGGCUCAUCUUCCCCAAGAGUCCAUAUCGACGGGAAGGUUUGGCACCUCGAUGUCGGCUCAUCGCAUCCUGGGGCUGAAGCAGGUCCCAAGGGUUGGGCUGUUCGCCCAUUAAAGCGGUACGCGAGCUGGGUUUAGAACGUCGUGAGACAGUUCGGUCCCUAUCCUCUGUGGCCGUAGGAGAUUUGAGGAAAGCUGUCCGUAGUACGAGAGGACCCGGAUGGACGCAGCUCUCGUGUGCCAGUUGUUCCGCCAGGAGCACGGCUGGUUGGCGACCUGCGGAAGGGAUAAGCGCUGAAAGCAUCUAAGCGCGAAGCCUGUUCCAAGAUGAGAUCUCCCACUGGUACAACCAGGUAAGGCCCGUGGCAGAUAACCACGUUGAUAGGCCGGAUGUGUACGCACAGCAAUGUGUUCAGCAGACCGGUACUAAUCGGCCGAGGGCUUGGUAUCG
rnacentral:rRNA from 1 species